UGCGCUUCUCGGCCUUUUGGCUAAGAUCAAGUGUAGUAUCUGUUCUUAAGAGUGCUCCCAUCAGCCACUGGGAAAUCUUUCCCUUGGCUCCUUAGACUUAUCCUGAGAGAAGCAACAAUCUGAGACAGGUAUUUUGCAACAACAGCUUUAAAAUACCCCCAUUCCUGUUUGCUCAGAACUUUUG